rnacentral:tmRNA from 1 species
GGGGGCGAUCUGGCUUCGACGGGUGGUUGAGGCCGGGCGUUGCGUGUCGAGGUCGUAGCCACCUCGUUAAACAGCUGCAGUCUGGUAGCUAAUAACUGCCGAUGACAACUACGCUCUCGCUGCCUAACUAACCCUUAGGUUCCAAGCGACUACCGUCCGUGAUGCCUACUAGCGGGUCGCGGUAGCGAUAUGAAGGCUGGCCCCCGAGCGCUGCUCGGCCGUACCCGGGGGCGAGAACCACGUCGAGCUAGGGAUCGGUUGGCUCGUCUCCACGCCUGCCGAACCCCGAAAUCAAGGGGAGACUACGCACGUAGACGCGUCCGGAAGACGCCAUGCGGACGCGGGUUCGAUUCCCGCCGCCUCCACCA